rnacentral:rRNA from 1 species
GAUCCUGGCUAGGACGAACGCUGGCGGCGUGCUUCAUACAUGCAAGUCGAACGAUAAGGUCUCUUCGGAGAUACAUAAGUGGCGGACGGGUGAGUAAAAUGUAGAGAAUCUGCCCUAGAGUGGGGGACAACAGUUGGAAACGACUGCUAAUACCGCAUAUGAGCGUAGCUGAAAUGCUAUUCUUGAAAACUCCGGUGCUCUGGGAUGAGUCUGCAUCUGAUUAGCUAGUUGGGGGUGUAAUGGACCACCAAGGCGACGAUCAGUAGCUGGUUUGAGAGGAUGAUCAGCCACAAUGGGACUGAGACACGGCCCAUACUCCUACGGGAGGCAGCAGUAGGGAAUUUUGCGCAAUGGGGGAAACCCUGACGCCAGCAACGCCGCGUGACCGAUGAAGCCCUUCGGGGUGUAAAGGUCUGUCAGUGGGGACGAAACUUGACGGUACCCACAGAGGAAGCAUCGGCUAACUCCGUGCCAGCAGCAGC